rnacentral:tRNA from 1 species
GACUAUUUCUUUGUGGGUUUUGUUUUGAAAGCAAAUGCUAAAGUAUUAAUUUACUUAAUAGUUU